rnacentral:rRNA from 1 species
UGGGGAAUAUUGCACAAUGGGCGCAAGCCUGAUGCAGCCAUGCCGCGUGUGUGAAGAAGGCCUUCGGGUUGUAAAGCACUUUCAGCGGGGAGGAAGGCGGUGAGGUUAAUAACCUCACCGAUUGACGUUACCCGCAGAAGAAGCACCGGCUAACUCCGUGCCAGCAGCCGCGGUAAUACGGAGGGUGCAAGCGUUAAUCGGAAUUACUGGGCGUAAAGCGCACGCAGGCGGUCUGUCAAGUCGGAUGUGAAAUCCCCGGGCUCAACCUGGGAACUGCAUUCGAAACUGGCAGGCUAGAGUCGUGUAGAGGGGGGUAGAAUUCCAGGUGUAGCGGUGAAAUGCGUAGAGAUCUGGAGGAAUACCGGUGGCGAAGGCGGCCCCCUGGACGAAGACUGACGCUCAGGUGCGAAAGCGUGGGGAGCAAACAGG